rnacentral:rRNA from 1 species
AGGCCGGCCUGAGAGGGUGAACGGCCACAUUGGGACUGAGACACGGCCCAAACUCCUACGGGAGGCAGCAGUGGGGGAUAUUGCACAAUGGGGGAAACCCUGAUGCAGCGAUGCCGCGUGAGCGAAGAAGUAUUUCGGUAUGUAAAGCUCUAUCAGCAGGGAAGAAAAUGACGGUACCUGACUAAGAAGCUCCGGCUAAAUACGUGCCAGCAGCCGCGGUAAUACGUAUGGAGCAAGCGUUAUCCGGAUUUACUGGGUGUAAAGGGAGCGUAGACGGUUUGCCAAGUCUGAUGUGAAAGGUGAGGGCUCAACCCUUAAACUGCAUUGGAAACUGGUAGACUAGAGUGUCGGAGAGGUAAGUGGAAUUCCUAGUGUAGCGGUGAAAUGCGUAGAUAUUAGGAGGAACACCAGCGGCGAAGGCGGCUUACUGGACGAUAACUGACGUUGAGGCUCGAAAGCGUGGGGAGCAAACAGGAUUAGAUACCCUGGUAGUCCCCU